UUAGAGAGAUACCUUUAAACUAGUAAGGCUUGCUACAACUAAUUGCAGAUUAAAUAGAUACGAACGCUUAAUCCAAAGUUGUAUGUUAACAUUAUGAACCUUGAACUCUGUUAUAUUGAUCAUGGCCAUUUGAUGACGGACAGGUGUACAGUACUUGUUUGAAAUGAAAACCUAUAUUUUAGCAAAAGAAUGAAUUAACGAUAGCCAUAAAAAAUUGUUUUAAUUGUCAUAAAAGGCUGAAAAUAUAAAGAAUUAUUUAAUGGAAAUUACCUUCCCCUUAUAAUAAAAAAUUUGGUAGGACUUGGUCAUUCAGCAAGGUAUGUUAAGCCAAUGUUUUCUACAAUUUACUAACAUAAAUCUUAUUAGUAAGAAGCUAUAAGUAUAUUUUGUUUGCCCUGAUUCAUAUUUCUUUUUAGUUCUAAUUCAUUCUCAAUAUCUUUUCUCUUUGCAGGUUAGAGUUUAUGUCGAUAUUGCAUUUCCCCAAAAUAACUCUUUUUGUAAGUGUUGCUGCAUAAAUUUAAUUUGAGUUCCUACGUAUCUCUUUUAUUUUUAUAAUAUCCAUCUAAUUGUUAAUACAAAAGGUAUAUGAUUGAUAUUCAGAUGCAAUAUCACAAACCGAAGGCUAGCUUAAUGACUCUUAGACUACAGGAGGAUAAAGACUAUGGCAAGUAGACCAACGUAGCCCUGAUGACUCUCUUUUGUGCUUUGUUGUUAUAAUUAUCUUUUUGUUGGAGUUGUUAUGUAGACUACUCUUUCUAGCUCCUUUUUUUGGUUGUUACUAAGUUCAUGUUAAGCAAGUUGUCAUAGACAAAUUAUAAUUGUGCUCAGUGAUUGUGGCACAGCUCAUGGGUUGGAACAUGCCAAGUAAUUUUGCUGUAAACUGUGCUAUGAACUUGGGUGGUUUCUGUACCUAGCGCUUGCAGCAGGGAAAUGUUUUUAUGUUUCACGUUACAUAAAUAUAAUAGAUUGGAUGAUAGUAGAAAAUGGUAUAUAUUCUAACAUUCAGUUUUUCUGAUAAUCCAUAUGGUUUCUCAGCUUUAUUAACAAAGAUGAAUGAAAAGAUGGACACAGUUCAAUUUGUUUGGAGGUCUAUAUAGAAUUGAAGCUUUGUGUAUUUAUCAUAUCAAGAAGUACGGAACUAAAACUUUUUUAAAUUUAUGGCCUGCUAUGGCAUGUCCAUGACUUCUACUUGAAAAUUUCAUUCACAUCCUUUUUUUCUCCUUUCCUAUUCAAUACUUCUAUUAUAUGUUCUUUUCAAAUGCCUCUUCAAAUAUGUCCAUGUGUACUUGUGCAAAUAAUCAGGUUUUUUUUCCUAUAGAUUUAGAAUUGUACUUUAUAUUUGUUCCAACCAUUCAAAAACCAAUCUCGUGAACCAAGAAAAAACAAAACCAAUCAACCAUAUUAGCACCGAAAAUCCUCAUAUGACAGCCAAUAAAUGUAAAAAUAACAUCACAAUGAUAAUGACAAUAUUGUGAAUAAGAAUGACACGUAUAAUCAAUUUCGGCCUUAACUGGCAGAAACCACCUCAGUCAGUUUCAAAUCGUUUCAGGCUGAAACUGAUCUAUUUUACCCAAAAUGGAUCAGUUUUGACUGAAACUUAAGUCCUUGAUUGCAGUUAUAAUCUCAUCUAACCACAGAUACUUACCACAUGUAAUUUCCUAAGUAUAUUGCUAACCAUUCAAUAUGCCUUUGAUGUACUUUCUUGAUACUCACCACAUAACCUGUAGUGUAACUAUAUCAUAUGUUUUCUCCGAGUAAACCCAAAAAAGGGAGAGGAGGAAUAGAUUUUGCUUGCAUUCUGUAAUUUUCAUUAGAUAACUAGUCAAAGAAAUAAUCUUGAUGAUUAGUCUUUCUAGUUUUCAUAAUAUGUACUAAAAUAUUUCUCCAAUUAGUAAGCAUUUCCUGACUUUCAAGAUUGCAUGAAUACAACUAAUUAGCAAACUCAAUCCAACUUGUCAUAAUAUGUUGACAUAAUGAUGUUGUCUACAGAAAAAAUAAGUUCCAAGCACUACUAAUUUGGCAUUUAGCAUUACCUUGAUGAUUGUUGUUCAUAUCAAUUAUAUGAUCCUUCAAGGCCUUUCUUCGCUUAAUACAAUUCAUCCAAUGUCUUGGCAUGUUGUGUGUUGCUUGGCUUUUUCUUCUUGUAGAGUCCUUUUCCAAUAAUGUUCGCAAACCUUUUUUAAGACAUUUGCUUUAGAAGUCACACAAGCACUUUUGUUAGGUAAUGCCAGGCAUGCUCUUAUAUAACAGCAAUAAGCACAGAUCAAAGCAUUACACCUUCAGGCAGUUUAAUCAAUUUCCCUAAUAUCUACAUACAACUUCCUAGCAGCAUCAGACCACAAAUUCUAUGAUUUUUUUCUUAUAAAGAGUAUUCCUACAAUAUGCAUUUGCCAAUAGCAAGAAAGACAAUCUACAUGGUCUAAAGCAUUUGCAAGAUGGAGGAAGAGAGAAGCUCUAUUUUCUUUUCCAGAUGAAAAUAGAAUGUCUUGUCUUCUCAUUGCUUCAACUCAAUGUCAUUCAAGAUAUGCACUAAUUAAACUGAAAAGGGAGAAAUGUUACCUUUCCUUCUUCCUAGUCAUCAGAAACUUACUGAUAUAGGACAGCAUAAUCACGGACACCACUACCUAGCGCAAUGUCACACAACCCCCAUGUCUUAGUAGCUAAAAUAUUCCACCUUGGGUGAUGCGCCCACUUCAGAAUCUUUGUGGAAUCUCAAAUCAGCACCCACUUCCUAAGUGCUCUCUUACUUCAGAUGUUUUUAAAAUAUCUGCUUCCCUGCCUUCACCCAUAUCUACUCCCAAUUCUAGUAAUCAAGCCUUAUACAGCUACCUCUUUAAUAUCUCUUUUUUCUUUUGAGAAAAAAAGAUCACACUAUGAUAUUUAAAGCCAUUUCAUUUAGUCUUCAACUGCAUAUACAUGCUUCACCUUGUUAAACAUGCCCAAAACUAAAAUCCUAGGCAAAAAAGGAUUUCAGCAAGUAUUACAAAAACAUGUUUAAUUAUGAUAGUUUACAUGAUUGCUCCCUGUUACUCAAUUUAUAGUGUCUUCAAAGCAAGCAACUCAUAAGUUGCAUAUUACUCUCUAGGAAAAGACCUAGAACCAGUACUGAAUACUUAAAUUACACUGCAUUCGCUUGUUUAUAGCAAAGAAGAAGAAGAAGAAAGUCUGCCUUCUUCUUCUUCUUCUUCUUUAAAGAUCAUCUCCACCCCAACCCUUGUCACAUUGGACCUGCUUUGACACUGAGAAAAAGAUAAUAAGCUUUUUUUUCCCUUUUGUUUCUUCUUUUUAUGGUGUUGGUGGUUUUAGGGUGGUAUACAAGUGUGUUUAAGAAUUUAAAUACAAAUUAAGAAUUUAUCCUUGUUCCAUACUUAAAUGAAAUCAAUGAGCAACAUAUCUAAAGACCCUAUAAACAAUCAAUGUCAUAUGCCCAACAUAAACUAUAUAACCUAAAAAUCCAAGUAAAACUUGCAUAGUUCUUUCUGGAGAUGGCUUCCACUUCUCCGCAUGAGAAUUCAACACCUUAGCAUGUAACACACAAUGAAUAGGUGCAUCUUCACUUGAAGUAACAAGACUUCUCCACCCAUCACCUCGAUCAUUUAUUUUCUCCCACCUUCAAGAACAUUCACCAUGAGCUCUCUUUGAGGAAAGAAAACCAGCUUCUAUUCAUCUUUUCUAGUGCACGUCCUUAUCUUCUCUCUUCACUUCAAAGAUCCCUCCAAAACUCCCCUUCUCUAUGAACUUCAUUGUCUCUUCCUCAGUCCAUCUACUUAAUUUCUUUCAUCACUUUUAAUCUAUAUAUGAAUGGUACUUUUCUUGAGUCUAUGAAAAUCAGCUGCUCUAUUUAACAACAAGAAUUUAUGUCUACAAACUUCAUAUAUUACAUGCAUAUCAUCCGAAACCUUCCUGCUUCCCAUAAUUUUUCAUCUAUGAGGGAAGAAUUCAACACCAAUCAAGAUCCCUUCAAACUCCAUUAACAUCAUUUCACACUUGGAAAUCUACAAACUUCUCACGAAAGGGUACCUCAUUGGAAAGUAUUCACGCAAUUGUACCUGGAUACACCAAAUUUUGGAUUGUGUGGAUACUUGGGACACUUUAUGACACUCCUUGACACUUCAUAUCAUCAAAUCAACUUGUUAACUCCAACAUGAUAUUUAUCAAAGGUUUUUUCAGAUUCACAAAACUUUUCGACUGGUUAAUCCAACUAAUUAUUCAUCAUGUGCAUAAAUCUGUACAUAUUUGUACACACAUCUACAUCAUACAGAAGCAACGACAUGUUGGAUUUCUUUAAGGUUUCCAUGUCAGAUUCAAGAGUACCAUGCCCUGUGGUUAUGAAGCCAUCAUCCCAAACCUUGCAAGUUAAGAUGUAAUUGCAAGACAUUAACAAGUAAAACAAUAUCAAGUUUAUCAAGAAACAUUCCCUCAUAGCAAUUAUCCCAACCUUUCUUUUCCCUUUCUUCUCUAAAUCUGGAAAGGAUAUUUAAUUAAUUACCACUAAAUUUGCCUUCUUUUGUACCUUUCUUUUGCUUUCUAACAAAAGGAAGAAAAAAGAACAAACAAAGAAAAGAAAGAUCAAACGAGGAUGUUCAACAACUGCUUCAAUGAAAGCAAGAGAGAUUAAGAGGCUACACUAGAAGGAGAAGCAAUUGGUACCUUAAAUUUGGCAUGUUUGAGUAUGGGAACAUCGCCGGUCGCCCUCAGGUGAACUACAACUGCACGCAAUAGGAGAAGGUCAGCACUCAGCAAUGAACAGAUAGAUAGAUAGAGAGAGAGAGAGAGAGAGAG
rnacentral:lncRNA from 1 species